rnacentral:rRNA from 1 species
UAGCCGUAAACGAUACUCGCUAGGUGUCGGCCACGGUGCGACCGUUGUCGGUGCCGUAGGGAAGCCGUGAAGCGAGCCACCUGGGAAGUACGGCCGCAAGGCUGAAACUUAAAGGAAUUGGCGGGGGAGGCACCACAACGGGUGGAGCUUGCGGUUUAAUUGGAUUCAACGCCGGAAAUCUUACCGGGACCGACAGCAAUAUGAAGGCCAGGCUGAAGACUUUGCCGGAUUAGCUGAGAGGUGGUGCAUGGCG